ACACUAAGGCCCACUGUACCUCCAACUUCAAUUUCUACUCAAGAAUCUAAAAAGGAACACAUAUCUACAUUGACACACUAAAGAUAUCAUGGAGAGUUGGCAGUAAGAGAGCAUAAAAUUUGUUAAGGUUCAUGUAAGCAAUAUACAUAUACACAUUUUUUCACAAACAGAAAUCACCAAAAGCACUUGGCAUUCUUCCAACUAAAUAUGAUGGGACUUGCAUUAACAAGAUGACUUACAUCACUUGGAACUACAACAUUUAACAUCCAACAGAGUGAAAGGGAACUCACUAAUACAAACCAAGAAAGUAGAUGGCAUGUGCAGGGAGUAGUUCAAUUACAAGGGCAUCAAGACCAGAUUUCUUAAUGCCUAAUACUCUGACUCAAUUCUAGGAAGGCAUUUUAAUUUCUAGUUCUCACAAUAUACAGUUCUCUCAUGAGCAAGUCAGUUGACUUUAAAAAUCUAACGAAAAAAAGUCCUCUCAAUGAGAUAAGCAAGUUCUGCUCAGCCAUAAGCAGACAUGAAACGGGCAUAGACCAGAAAACAGAAUUUUUUGAGACACUACUUCUACAUCAGCAGAUACAAAAUGAAAAAAGUACACAUUCAGAUUUCUUAAAUUACAGAAAGAAAAAAGUUCACAUUCAUUUUUUGAGAGAUGGAAUGGGCAUCAAGACCAGAUUUCUUAAUGCCUAAUGCCUAAUCUAAGAGGAUGAAAAAAGUACACAGAUACAUAUUACAUAUAUGCAGAUAUAGAAUGGUAUAUAGGACAUAGAAAUCUCUUUAAAUUUCAAAAUAUAAGUAGAAGAUCUGCACUCCAAUAUGUUUAACUUGAAAUUUGGUGCUUUUCCAGAAGAGCUUUCAUGUCCAUUUUACACUAAGAAGACCCUGCUAGAGGCACUCAAUUACAACACUAAAUUUCAUGGAUAAAGGGUAACCGCAAUGAGCUAUCUAGCAACAGUAAAAUCCACCAGUUCUACGAUAAGAUUGAUAGUACAUAAAGAGAGAAAUAUAGAUAUCAAACAACAAAUACCCACUGAUUGCAGUAGGUAAGUGACCACUGUAACUGAGACAAAGAGAUAAAAGUUCAAAGGCCAGAACUUGAAAUCUUGCUUUGGCCUUUUCGAUUCUUUCACGAUCCAAAGAGUCCACAACGUAAAU
rnacentral:lncRNA from 1 species